rnacentral:rRNA from 1 species
GUGGGGAAUAUUGGACAAUGGGCGAAAGCCUGAUCCAGCCAUGCCGCGUGAGUGAUGAAGGCCUUAGGGUUGUAAAGCUCUUUCAGUAGGGAAGAUAAUGACGGUACCUACAGAAGAAGCCCCGGCUAACUUCGUGCCAGCAGCCGCGGUAAUACGAAGGGGGCUAGCGUUGUUCGGAUUUACUGGGCGUAAAGCGCACGUAGGCGGAUUGGUCAGUUAGAGGUGAAAUCCUGGAGCUCAACUCCAGAACUGCCUUUAAUACUGCCAGUCUAGAGUCCAGAAGAGGUGAGUGGAACUCCUAGUGUAGAGGUGGAAUUCGUAGAUAUUAGGAAGAACACCAGUGGCGAAGGCGGCUCACUGGUCUGGUACUGACGCUGAGGUGCGAAAGCGUGUGGAGCAAACAGGAUUAGAUACCCGUGUAGUCC